rnacentral:rRNA from 1 species
GCAGCAGCCGCGGUAAUUCCAGCUCCAAUAGCGUAUAUUUAAGUUGUUGCAGUUAAAAAGCUCGUAGUUGGAUUUCGGGUGGGUUUCAGCGGUCCGCCUAUGGUGAGUACUGCUGUGGCCUUCCUUACUGUCGGGGACCUGCUUCUGGGCUUCAUUGUCCGGGACAGGGAUUCGGCAUGGUUACUUUGAGUAAAUUAGAGUGUUCAAAGCAGGCUUACGCCGUGAAUACUUUAGCAUGGAAUAACAUGAUAGGACUCUGCCCUAUUUUGUUGGCCUGUAGGAGUGGAGUAAUGAUUAAGAGGAACAGUCGGGGGCAUUCGUAUUUCAUUGUCAGAGGUGAAAUUCUUGGAUGUAUGAAAGACGAACUACUGCGCAAGCAUUUGCCAAGGAUGUUUUCA